UGUAGUCUCGCACAGAUGCAUAUCAAUAAGCGGAGGAAAAGAAACUAACAAGGAUUCCCCUAGUAACGGCGAGUGAAGCGGGAAGAGCUCAAAUUUGAAAUCUUAAAGGGUUUCCCUUUACGAAUUGUAGUUUAAAGAAGUGUUUUCUGUUGAGGUUUUGGUAAAAGUUCUUUGGAAUAGGACAUCAUAGAGGGUGAGAAUCCCGUAUUUGACCUUUACUUUCAACUUUGUGAUACACUUUCAAAGAGUCGGAUUGUUUGGGAAUGCAGUCCAAAAUGGGUGGUAAAUUUCAUCUAAAGCUAAAUAUUGGCGAGAGACCGAUAGCGAACAUGUACCGUGAGGGAAAGAUGAAAAGAACUUUGAAAAGAGAGUUAAACAGUACGUGAAAUUGUCAAAAGGGAAGCGUUUGACACCAGUGUUGUUUUUCUGAAAAUCAAUUAAAGAACUGUUUAUGCUAAGCUGUUUAGACUUUAUCAGCUAUCUGUUUAGUUUUGAGCUUUUCUUUAAUGCACUUUUCAGUUAGCAAGUCAACAUCAAUUUCUUUUGCUGUAAAAAAGCUUGAGGAAGGUGGCUUGAGAUUCGUCUUAAGUGUUUAUAGCCUCUUGCCUAUGCAGUCGGAGAGAUUGAGGUCUGCAGCGUAGAUCCUUCGGGGCUAAAUGCAUUUGUGCUAAGUUAUAGCAUUUUAUAGACAACUUGUUGACUAUGAUUUGUCUUGUAGCUUACUCGCUUAUGUUAUUUUACCUACGCUUAGGAUGUUGACGCGCGUGUGUGCGUG
rnacentral:rRNA from 1 species